CUAAAAGAAAUAAAUAAAAGGAAACAAAAAAAAUGAAAGAAAAUGAAAAAUACUGUAAUGUAAACCCAAGAGAGUCAUCGUCCUCCAUCCCCCUCAAUCUCGCUCUCUCGCUCUCUCUUCUCUCGCUCUAUCUUCUCUCAAUCUCGCUCUCUCUUCUCUCAAUCUCAAUCGCUCUUGCGUCUCCCUCACAACCCAUUCUCCCAAAACCUCAGUCAUUCAUCACAUCUCAGGUUCACGAAUUUGAUUUUCAUUCAAAGAGACUCAAGUAAGAGCUCACCUUCGGCGACGACGACGGCUCAGCUAAUGAUCGAAUCUCCUUCCUUCGUCUCUUUCAAUCAGUUUCUUUUCUGAUUUGGGGAUUAGGGUUCUUGGUGGAAUUGUUGUCCGCCUCCAAUUUUUCGUCUCCUUUUACUGAUUCUCUUCCCCUCUAUUUAUCUCCUGCAGAUUAGGGUUUUGAUUUGGUACCCAAAGAUUCAAUGGAGAAAAUUUCCAGAUGUGCUUUUUGCGCUCAGAAUCGAGUUUGUCCUGUUUGAUGCUACAAUCUGGAAACGUGAAAUUGGUGAGCUUUGGUUUUCACAUAAUUAUUUUGCAGUAACUUUGCUGCAGUUGGCAAUAGGUUUAUUUUGGAAAUGAAGAAUGGUUUCCUCUUGGCAAGCCUGGAUGCUUCAAAGACAGUGAGAGAGAUAGCCAACUGAUGGUUCAGAUGGUUAUACGGCAAUGUACCAUACUCUUGCAGGUGGUUACGGGAUACUUGUUUGACAUCUGUGUCGUGACUGUCUGCCACUAGUUCAGAGCUAUGCGGCGAUUCAGCAUUAGGCAAUGAUUCAGGUUGAGGCAGUUCAAGGGGCCUUGGUUUUGUACCCGGUUUUGGGUGGCUUGUGCAUCCAGCAUCUCAGGAUUUAAGUCAUUGACUUUCUCGAUUGCAUCUUCAACGUUACCACUUUGUACUGCCUUCUUAACAGCCAUCCGACCAGUGAUUGUAGCAAGAUCAAUGUCAGGCUCGGUUCCAAACUCCUUACGAAAUUUCUCAGCAACUUCAACGAAGCCCUCAGGGACAAGGAAAUUCAUUACCAAUUUAUUCAUGUCUUCUUUCCUAAUCUUGACGUUAUUCAGCUUCCUCCCCCACUCUUUCUUUGGAAUCACUUUCUUUGAUGCCGCCAUUGCCUCAAUUUCUGCUAGCUGACGAAGGAGGACAUGCUGAGUUAUUGUACCUGACACAAUGGACGGGAAACUCUGAGCAGCCAAUGGCGACACCGCAUUUUCAACUGUUAGCCAAUAGAGAUAGUUGACCUGAAACAAUGCCUUCAGCAUAUCCUGCUAUGAACAAUUUUCUUUAAGCACCACAUAGAAUUUUCCCAUAUGCUCGGACAAAAAGGGUAGCCUUUAUUUUAUAAAGUGAAAAAGAGAGCAAGCACUUCCUCCUUAUUCUCGAUGAUUUUACUGAGUUUUGAUCCGAACUGCAGACGACUUUCAAUUUCUACAGCUGCAGCCUUGGCUUCAUAUGAUAAGACAAUUGGUUGUGCUUUUUGUUUUGGAAUUCAGGGGCAUAUUGAUGAUCCAUCUACUGGUACCUAUUGGUUCGUCUUGUCACAAUUUCGGCAUUAAAAUGAUGUUCUCUGUUGCUUCUAGGCUCAAAAGGGGCGGUUUGACGGACUUGAAGCCAAAGUAACAAAAAUCCUGUCUUGUAGUUCACACCAUGCCGACAUUUACUUACGGUAGCUUCUUCUUUGCUCAUGCCAUCUCAGGGCAUCGAAAUCUGAUCAGUGGUAACCUGUAAAAUAAGUAGCUGCAUAACAAUAUGAUUCUUUGUUCUUGAGAUAACAUAUGUGUCCGUUUGCAAAUUAUCAUCAUCAUACUCAUCAUUUGUCAAAUCAUGGUGACGAGCCAUCAGUACUGCUCUUCUUAUUGCAUGCAAGUCCUCCAUCAGUAAGUCUGAUUGCACAGAAACGAAGAAAUGCAAUUGCAUUAAGGCUCACAUCACUAUUGAACCAGCCAUUUGUAAAUGUCAAAAGGCAUCCAGCACAAUCAGUGAAGGUCGUUGUUUCUGCGGUUGUUGUCCAUCCUGAGAGAAACAUUCCAUCAGUUACAGGAGAAGGAAAAACAGCUAGGACCUUUUCAAGAUUGGUAUCAUAAAUUGCAACCAUGUCGUCCUCAAUAUCACCGGCCUCAUAGAGAAGGUUUGAAGCAUUCAUAAUAAGUGGAAGGUUCAUCCUAAGCUUAGCCUUGAUGAUCUUUUCAACAACGUCCUUCAACUUUGAGCGGUUUGUAUUUAUUUCAAGCAAUACCGGACUCUCGGAGCAAACAUAACAUGAUUUGUUUGGUUCAAACGGCUCCACUGGCAUAAGCAGCAGGUUUCUUGAUGGGCGUUCCAGGUAAUAUGUCAUUCUUCAUCUGAUGCUUCUGCAGCAUAUACUUCUGCUUUCGGUAUCCACCAUGGCUGCAGCAUCGGAGCCUAAGGCAUGUGCUUCUGACGACAAAUGCUUGCAUAUAAUUCCCCAAUAAAGAGCAGCCUCUGCUUAGUGUUUGUCAGUCACGUUUUAUGCCGCAGAUUUUGUGACCACGACAUGUUCCUGUGGAAAAAUUGUUGUAGCUUUAAGAUGCACGGCACGUUGUGAUGCAGCUAUUCAUUUGUCAUCGGCUUGCGCCGCUUUGUAUUUGGCUUGUGGCUUAUGGCAGCUGGUGCUUUAGAAGUCGUUGCUUUGCUUAGCAGCUGUGUGAAGUUGUUUUUAUUUUCCAAUUCUGCAACUGUUCCCAUUGGCUUGGAUGUAGCUCAUGUUUGUCAUGGAUAAUGGUGUGUGUUUGUAAAAUGUGACAAGAAUGGUGAGACCUUGGUUUAUGAAAAUUGGGUGUUUGGUUAUAAAAUGGAUAUGGAUGUGAUGCAUUGUUAUGCUUGAAUGUUAAAUGAAAAUGUAUGUAUGAAAAUGAGUUUGGAAAUGUUUGAAAGUUAAAUAUUACUGAAUGUUAUGAAA